rnacentral:rRNA from 1 species
GACGAACGCUGGCGGCGUGCUUAACACAUGCAAGUCGAGCGACUGCAUUCUUUUCGGAGGGUGUAUGGAGCGGCGAACGGGUGAGUAACACGUGAGUAAUCUGCCUUUGGCUCGGGAAUAACUUCGGGAAAUCGGGGCUAAUGCCUGAUGUUUACUGUCUGCUGCAUGGUGGGUGGUGGAAAGUAUUUUUUGGCCGAGGGAUGAGCUCGCGGUCUAUCAGCUUGNGGUGGGGUAAUGGCUUACAAGGCUUGACGGGUAGCCGCCUGAGAGGGCGACCGGCCACACUGGGACUGAGAC